GGAAUAUUGGUCAAUGGGCGCGAGCCUGAACCAGCCAAGUAGCGUGAAGGAUGACUGCCCUACGGGUUGUAAACUUCUUUUAUAAAGGAAUAAAGUGAGGCACGUGUGCCUUUUUGUAUGUACUUUAUGAAUAAGGAUCGGCUAACUCCGUGCCAGCAGCCGCGGUAAUACGGAGGAUCCGAGCGUUAUCCGGAUUUAUUGGGUUUAAAGGGAGCGUAGAUGGGUUGUUAAGUCAGUUGUGAAAGUUUGCGGCUCAACCGUAAAAUUGCAAUUGAUACUGGCAGUCUUGAGUACAGUUGAGGUAGGCGGAAUUCGUGGUGUAGCGGUGAAAUGCUUAGAUAUCACGAAGAACUCCGAUUGCGAAGGCAGCUUACUAAACUGCCACUGACAUUGAUGCUCGAAAGUGUGGGUAUCAAACA
rnacentral:rRNA from 1 species